CACUGGCCGGUACACGUGUCCGCCGUUCUCUGGUCAAUGGCUCCUCCCUCCCCAGGGAGCGUGUUCUCCAAAGGGCUUCUGGGAAGCGUAGUUCCACCUCCCCUCCGCCUUGGUCUUGGAGACUGAUUGCUGGGGACAGGUUGCGAUAAACCCGGGGAUGGAUGAAGGUAGCUGGUUGCUAAGUCCCCGCAGAAAAAGGGUUUGCCUGCUGCAGGGCCUGUUCCAGUAUUUCCCAAGAGAUGAACCGUCAGUUUGUUGAGGACCGGAUUGUGGAGGUGGACCCCCUUCCUUUCAUCUGGAAUGUGGAAGGACCUGGUCCCCACUACACUCUCAAUGUGAAGAUGUCCCGGCUAAAGCAGUUUGCAUUCGCCUUUGAAUUUGGAUCUGUAGACCCCAGGCAAUCUUUUCCAAAGACGGAAUUCCCUGAACGGAUUGUGAAGCUUGACAUCUCUUUAAAUGAACUCAAAGAGAUUCCACCUGAAGCACUUUUCCCCUUUGAGAAUCUUGCUGAGUUAGAUGCAUCGCUUAAUGCUUUAGGCACCGCAAGAGGGAUUGGAGAUCUUCCCAGCCUUGUGGUACUUAACCUCAGUUAUAACAUGCUCAGAGAGAUGAAGGGCCUGGAAAACUGCCCCCACCUGUGCAUGCUGCAGAUGUCCCACAACCAAAUGAGGACUCUCGUGGAGAUCCCUGUCCUGAGCAACUUGACUCAGCUUCAUUUGUCUUCCAAUAAGUUGGAGUCUCUGGAAGGAGUGCAGAAUCUCCCCCGGCUCUGUGAGCUCUACGUGCAGAAGAACUGCAUUGCCAGCUUGCGGCCUCUUGCUGCUUUGCUGUCUCUCAGCAUCCUGGAUGCCUCCGGCAAUUGCAUUCGCAGGCUGCCAGAGGCUUUGCACAUGCUCAGAGGUCUCCGCAGGCUGAAGCAUCUCACCCUCAAGGACAACCCAGUGGCCCGAGACAACCGCUACACCACUGCCAUCCAGGAGUCCACCUCUGUGGAGAUACUAGAUGGCAUGUUUCUCCGGCAUCCAUCACGACUCUCCGCUCUCCCUUUGCACAUGUGGCCUUUCCUCCAGCAACCAGUUUCCAGUUCAGCUGAUGUAGUCCAAGCCAAAGCAGACCUGAAGGAGGUGGCUAGGAGGGUCUUCAGUCCACGACUGCAGGAGAAGAGAGAUAAUGUUGGAAGCGCUGUGCAUCACUUUCAUUCCAGGAUAUUGUAAGGCAUUUGAUUCCUUACCCUCACAGGGUGGAUUUGUGUACAAGGCCAUCAGAUACUGUAUAUAGGGAAUAUGUAGUGGUGGUUGGCCUUCCUUGGAGGGUGGAGGCUCCAGAUCCAAGCACCCCAAUGUUCGAGCUUCAUAGAAGUAAACAGAGACACAGACAAGCAGAGGAUUCAGGCAGGCAGCAACGUACUUUGUUCAUAAGAAUGGAGGGUUUGACUAGGAAUCGAAGGGUGACAUCAAAGGGCUCACCGUUUGGACUGACACGUGGGAAGAUGAAGGGGACCUGAUUAUCUACCCCUGAAGAGCCUUGCUUGGAAGGUGCAAAGGAGGCAUUCCUUCUUAUAGGCCAGGGAUUGGGGAAAAGUUUUUCAGUUUGAGGGCCUCAUCUCUUCUGGGCACCCUUCCAGAGGCCAGGCCCUGUUACACGCAAAGAACUGAGGAAUGCAAGUUAUAGCACAAAUCUUGUUGUGUUUGUAACCUAGCAGAAGUCACUGUUGGGCUGAUGUCUCAGCUGUGCUCUAUGUAGCCUUCUGUCAACGAGAGGCACAGCCUCACCGGUGAUUCUUUUUUGGCUGGUCAGAACAAUGACUCUUCCCUGUUGGAGAAGUCUUGUUGGCUAUAAGGAGGACAGUAUCUUCCCAUAAGAGUCUUUUCUAGCUCUAAGGUCUUCAGGGGAGGCCUUUCUCUCGGUCCCGCCACCCUCACAGGGAACUUCAGGAAGAGUUGACAGAAUAUGAAGAAAAACUUAGAUUGGAAAUGGA